rnacentral:rRNA from 1 species
ACUCAAAGGAAUAGACGGGGACCCGCACAAGCGGUGGAGUAUGUGGCUUAAUUCGAUGCAACGCGAAGAACCUUACCUGGGCUUGACAUGGAUUUCUAAGCACGUGAAAGCGUGUGACCCUUCGGGGAACUUCCACAGGUGCUGCAUGGCCGUCGUCAGCUCGUGUCGUGAGAUGUUGGGUUAAGUCCCGCAACGAGCGCAACCCUUGUGAUCAGUUGCCAGCGCGUCAUGGCGGGAACUCUGGUCAGACUGCCCAGAUCAACUGGGAGGAAGGUGGGGACGACGUCAGGUCAGUAUGGCCCUUACGCCCAGGGCUGCACACGUACUACAAUGCCCAGUACAAUGAGAACCGAUGCCGCGAGGUGGAGGAAAUCUGUAAAACUGGGCCCAGUUCGGAUUGGAGGCUGCAACUCGCCUCCAUGAAGUUGGAAUCGCUAGUAAUGGCGCAUCAUCUACGGCGCCGUGAAUACGUUCCCGGGUCUUGUACACACCGCCCGU